rnacentral:rRNA from 1 species
UACGGAGGGUGCGAGCGUUAAUCGGAAUUACUGGGCGUAAAGCGUGCGCAGGCGGUUUGUUAAGCGAGAUGUGAAAGCCCCGGGCUCAACCUGGGAACCGCAUUUCGAACUGGCAAACUAGAGUCUUGUAGAGGGGGGUAGAAUUCCAGGUGUAGCGGUGAAAUGCGUAGAGAUCUGGAGGAAUACCGGUGGCGAAGGCGGCCCCCUGGGCCUGUACUGACGCUCAUGCGCGAAAGCGUGGGGAGCAAACAGG